rnacentral:misc_RNA from 1 species
AAGUCAAAGGGCUGGGUUAAUACUCUUGUUGGUGGGCAGAAGGAAGGAGCCCGAGGUUUUAUGUUUUUUAUCAUUAAUGUGGACUUGACCGAGGAAGGAUUAUUACAUGUUGAAGAUAUAAUUUUGCACAUGUUUCAAUACAUUCAGAAGUUACGUGCAGAAGGACCUCAAGAAUGGGUUUUCCAAGAGUGCAAGGACUUGAAUGCUGUUGCUUUUAGGUUUAAAGACAAAGAGAGGCCACG